rnacentral:rRNA from 1 species
GACGAACGCUGGCGGCGUGCCUAAUACAUGCAAGUAGAACGCUGAAGAGAGGAGCUUGCUCUUCUUGGAUGAGUUGCGAACGGGUGAGUAACGCGUAGGUAACCUGCCUUGUAGCGGGGGAUAACUAUUGGAAACGAUAGCUAAUACCGCAUAACAAUGGAUGACACAUGUCAUUUAUUUGAAAGGGGCAAUUGCUCCACUACAAGAUGGACCUGCGUUGUAUUAGCUAGUAGGUGAGGUAAUGGCUCACCUAGGCGACGAUACAUAGCCGACCUGAGAGGGUGAUCGGCCACACUGGGACUGAGACACGGCCCAGACUCCUACGGGAGGCAGCAGUAGGGAAUCUUCGGCAAUGGGGGCAACCCUGACCGAGCAACGCCGCGUGAGUGAAGAAGGUUUUCGGAUCGUAAAGCUCUGUUGUAAGUCAAGAACGGGUGUGAGAGUGGAAAGUUCACACUGUGACGGUAGCUUACCAGAAAGGGACGGCUAACUACGUGCCAGCAGCCGCGGUAAUACGUAGGUCCCGAGCGUUGUCCGGAUUUAUUGGGCGUAAAGCGAGCGCAGGCGGUUUGAUAAGUCUGAAGUUAAAGGCUGUGGCUCAACCAUAGUUCGCUUUGGAAACUGUCAAACUUGAGUGCAGAAGGGGAGAGUGGAAUUCCAUGUGUAGCGGUGAAAUGCGUAGAUAUAUGGAGGAACACCGGUGGCGAAAGCGGCUCUCUGGUCUGUAACUGACGCUGAGGCUCGAAAGCGUGGGGAGCGAACAGGAUUAGAUACCCUGGUAGUCCACGCCGUAAACGAUGAGUGCUAGGUGUUGGAUCCUUUCCGGGAUUCAGUGCCGCAGCUAACGCAUUAAGCACUCCGCCUGGGGAGUACGACCGCAAGGUUGAAACUCAAAGGAAUUGACGGGGGCCCGCACAAGCGGUGGAGCAUGUGGUUUAAUUCGAAGCAACGCGAAGAACCUUACCAGGUCUUGACAUCCCGAUGCUAUUUCUAGAGAUAGAAAGUUACUUCGGUACAUCGGUGACAGGUGGUGCAUGGUUGUCGUCAGCUCGUGUCGUGAGACGUUGGGUUAAGUCCCGCAACGAGCGCAACCCCUAUUGUUAGUUGCCAUCAUUCAGUUGGGCACUCUAGCGAGACUGCCGGUAGUAAACCGGAGGAAGGUGGGGAUGACGUCAAAUCAUCAUGCCCCUUAUGACCUGGGCUACACACGUGCUACAAUGGUUGGUACAACGAGUUGCGAGUCGGUGACGGCGAGCUAAUCUCUUAAAGCCAAUCUCAGUUCGGAUUGUAGGCUGCAACUCGCCUACAUGAAGUCGGAAUCGCUAGUAAUCGCGGAUCAGCACGCCGCGGUGAAUACGUUCCCGGGCCU